rnacentral:rRNA from 1 species
AGUGAACGCUGGCGGUAGGCCUAACACAUGCCAGUCGAACGGCAGCACAGUAAGAGCUUGCUCUUACGGGUGGCGAGUGGCGGACGGGUGAGGAAUACAUCGGAAUCUACCUUUUCGUGGGGGAUAACGUAGGGAAACUUACGCUAAUACCGCAUACGACCUACGGGUGAAAGCAGGGGAUCUUCGGACCUUGCGCGAUUGAAUGAGCCGAUGUCGGAUUAGCUAGUUGGCGGGGUAAAGGCCCACCAAGGCGACGAUCCGUAGCUGGUCUGAGAGGAUGAUCAGCCACACUGGAACUGAGACACGGUCCAGACUCCUACGGGAGGCAGCAGUGGGGAAUAUUGGACAAUGGGCGCAAGCCUGAUCCAGCCAUACCGCGUGGGUGAAGAAGGCCUUCGGGUUGUAAAGCCCUUUUGUUGGGAAAGAAAAGCAGCAGGUUAAUACCCCGCUGUUCUGACGGUACCCAAAGAAUAAGCACCGGCUAACUUCGUG